UUGGCAUUUUGUGGGUGCUUCACCGGGUCUUUUGUGAUCCGCAUAAGGCUGAGAGCACGACCGAUCCUUUAACCAUUUGAACCUGAUAUGGAUAAUACCAUCAGCGGAAUAUAAAAAUUGUACUUUA
rnacentral:ncRNA from 19 species